ACCGGAUCAGCAAAACGUUUUCUCUCUUUUCCCCUCCUCAUCUCACGCAUAGGGUUUCCUCCCUUGAAACGACCCGCCGCCACAUACCCACCGCCGCCCCCCGAGCUACCGACGCUCCACCUCUCACUGCCUCCGCGAACUCUUUGGCUCCCCGUCCGAGCUGAUCUUCCCUGUCGCCGCCUAGAUCUUGCACCCUGCCACCGACCGAAGUAACCAGGGAGGAGACCUAGAUCUUCCGUGCCCGCCAUCCGAGCACGACCGGCCAAACUGGUGAGGCCACAUCCUGAAGCCGGAGCACGUAUGGAGGUGGUGGAGCACCAGGGAUUGGAAUUCAGGAUUUCUGGAUCUGUCGUUGUGGACUGGAAAGUACAAAAUAAGAGAAGCCAGCAUGGUUGCUUGCAGACUAGAACCGAAUUUCAGAGAUAGGUGCCACUACUAAUCAAGAAAAUGUCAAGCACAGGAAGUAGUAAAGCAGCAACAGGCUAGCGUAAAAUCAAAAAAUAUCAAGUGACAUAUGUUUACCUCAUUGUUGUAGAUUUCAGCUACUAUUCCCUAGAUUCCGUGGUCAAGCAGAAUAGUACUACAAGACCCCGUGAGCCAGGACAAGCCAUAUAAAAGAAUAGAGAUAGAUAGUGUCCGUCCUAUUUACUAGAAGAUUUUAGUAAGAGAUGAGCUGAUAUUUGGGAGGAGUGGCGGGGAUACAGGAAAACACGAACUAACCAUUUUUUCAGUUAAACUUGCUGACUAAUUUGCUCUCUGAGUAGAGCUCAAUUUUGUACAAAUUCCGUGACAUUUUUAUUCAUCUCCUCAAGAACGAUGAUGAGCUAGAUGAAAAUAUUUCAUGCCUUAGAUCUGAGAUAGAGGGUUGCUACCUCUACCUCCUGGAAGCUACUAUAUCAAUUAAUAUCGGCAGGGGUGUCCUCGGCACCAGUGACUACCUAGCCCAGAGCAGUUGAUUGAUGACAACUUCAUCGGCUGGCAAGUCCAUUAUCUUUGAGGAGUUUACUGACCAUACGCAACAGAGCACGUCUUCCUCUCAUACCUGUUCAAGAUACAGUGGCAAAACGGAAACAAGGAACUGCAGAUGAACACCGCUACUAGAGCAACACAUAAUGUCAACUUGCAGAUUUUAGUGAGUUCAGUGCACAUUCUUGGUUAUGUAUUCUAAAUUUCAUUUAACUAUCUACUGAAUGUUUAUUUCCUCAAUUAGAUACUAGAAAUAGUAAGAAAUGAUGCAUGUGUGAAAUUGUUGUCAGCACUGAUAGUGGCCUCCCCACAUAUUUGGAGAGACCAAGUUGGUCACCUCAGCAGAUAUGGGCAUCAUUGUGAGGUUAUUGUUAUUCGAGCACACUGUGAUGAGCGAUGUAAACAUACUUUGGGGAGUUCUUUUAGAAAAAAAAUAGAGGAUAAAAAUGGGUCAUGUACUGACUUGUAGAAUAUAACCUUUAUUGUCAUUACAGAAGAUGGUGCUGAUGACAGUAUGCUCCAUAGUGUUAUUUUGUUUUUAUUACUUUUGUCUGUGAUGCACCAAUUUGGACUUUGGAACCUGGUGGGGAAGAUGUUCAGAGCCGGUUUGCCACACAUGGAAGUUGAUCCGAUAAUGGGAUGUGCAACAUGUAAGGUAGAUGUCCGUACAAAAAACUCCAUUUCUCAUGAUCGUAAGAUAGAUGGUUGCCUGCAAGCAAAAUAUACUUAAGGUCUCAAUAGAUUGUAUUUACAUUUUUGAAAAAAAAAUUCUCCCUCUGGUUUGAAAUAAUCACUCUGAAAUGGAUGUAUCUACACAUGUGAGCAAUUUUUUUGAACCAGUGGAAGUAUUAUAUUUUAUAAUAGGUAGGAACAAAGUCUGGGCAUCUGUCUGCUUAUACUGUGAAUAAAGUCAUAGAUAUUGCUUUAUUGGCUCCGGUUAUAUAAAACAUAAAGAUUUUCAGAUUUAUUGUGCAAAAACUUCAUCAGUCAUUUCAACAGAGACCUAAAGGGGUGCCUCUUUUAAAGGUAUGGGGAGUUUUUAUUUCAUCUAAUGUAUUGUUGGAGUAGGCAAUAGUCACAUAUUCGAAGGAUCUUAUUGUAUGCAAACAAUUGCUGAAGUCGAGUAACUACGGAUUUUUUCUUGGAAAAUUAUGGACUGCAUAUUUUCUUUAUAACUUUUGCCAUUUGCAACAAUCAAAUAUUAUCUGCCUUAGUAUGACCGAAAUUGUUUAUGUUCCAACAGGGGAGUUUCAUAGAUUCCUUAUUUUGCCUAAUGUGUACUCUCAUACUUAUUGUUCUUGCAGUCAUGAUAACUUAUUUGAUAUGCUUAUUUGAUAUCGUAACUUAUUUGCAGCCACAUUGAUUCAUCAAGUUUCAAUCAGUUUUUAUGAACUACAUACAACGGAAGGCAUAGAAACUGAAUGAUAUCAUGUACGGGAGGUCCCAUGAAAAUGAAAACCGCUGAUUGUAUUCAGCAACUAGAUUCAACUCUUAUGGCAGCAUUAAUAACUCUUCUCCAUAUUAUAAAAAAAAGGUAUCGCAGUGAUGCCACAAGGCGAGCGGAAAUAUUCGCAGAGCUGAUGGCAAAACCAUUGACAAGGAACUCCCCUUAGAAUUGAAGGCAAAGGCGGCUGUUACGAUGACAACACAAAGUUGAGGUACAAACUGUUGAGCCUAGAAAAGCCUCAAUAACAAAGCGAAAGGGUGGAACUACCAAGAAAAAAGAAGAUCAGUGUGUUAUCUUCUUAGGUUGUAAUUGACACAUGGAUUGUAUGACAUUUAUGUACUAUUGAGUUGCUCAACCGUAAAGCCUAGCAAAACCUCAAAACCAAGCUAAUGGUUGGAGUCAAGAAGACAAGAGGAAGAGAAGAGUGUUAUCUUCUUGUGAGUUGGAAUUGAUGCAUCAGCUGCAUGAUAUUCGUAGACUAUGUUUUGGUAAUACUAUAAGUUAGUUUUGUCAAUAUA